UGCGGCCUCCAGCACCACCUCCACAUCCACCGUCGGCUGCCCAUAAGCGCUGCGCCGCCGGCCACCCUGCCAACCCAGCGCGAGCCCUUCCCCUUCCCUAUUCCUCCGCCUGGACCCCGACGAUCGACGGAUCUGAGCCCCCUGCCCUCCCGCGCCUUCUCCAUGGCCUCCUCCCCCGCCAGUGGCCGAACUCGUCAAGCUCGACCUCGCUGGAACCCCCGCGGCGAACCACGACCCCGACGGGACCCCACCCACUUCUAGUGGCUCAGACCACCAUGCCUCCACCACGAAACGGCCGCCGGCGACGGCCAAGACCCGGGAUCCAGGGCCACCCGAUGAGGCGCGCGGCCUCACCUGCCCACUACCAUCCUUGUCCGUUCUUUUUCUGCAGGAGCACCACCUCAGCCCCCGCGCAGUGCGGGCGGUGAGCACGUGCAGUCCGGUGGGCGCGUGCGUGCAACGCGCUGAGUGCGGGCGCUGGAUCAGCACCACCCCCGUGCAGUGCGGGCGGUGAGCACGUGCAGUCCGGUGGGCGUGUGUGUGUGCAGCGCGCUGAGUGCGGGCGCCGGAUCAGCACCGCCCCGUGCAGUGAGGACGGUGAGCACGUCCAGUCCGGUGGGCGCGUGCGUGCAGCGCACUGAGUGCGGGCGCCGGGUCAGCGGCUCCCCCCGUGCAGGAUCCCACGGACAGCGCCGGAUCUCGCGACAUUGAGCUUCUCUGCUCGGACAUGGCGGCCUCCCGUCCACCCAGGCUAUGGAGGCGAGCUAGAUCCGGUGAGAUCCUUUCCUCUAUGGUCCCCAACCGUCCAACCUCGCACCCCGGCGGCCUCCUGCAAGCACGGCCAGGUCCAUAGUGGUUGCAGAUGCAUUGGAGCGAGAGGGCUUCUAGAACCUAGCCUGCAUCACCUGAAGUCUUAAGACACUGAAACCAGCCUUGUUGCUGCUUGUAAUGGCGUUCACUGACCAGGUUGAGCAGAUCUUCGAGUUGGCCGACAUCAAAUUGUGUUUAGGGUCGCCGCACUUCUAGUUACUCUUGAGUUCAUACGUUUCACUAUCAGGGUAUGGAACUCUUCAUGAUUUCAUACUAAAAUUCUUCUAUGGACAAACAAAAUUGGUGCUACUGAUUUAAGCUUAAUGGCACGAACAACAGUUCCUGUUAUGUAGUAUGUGGGCCAGUUAUAAAAUUUGGAUGAACACUAAUUUGAUUUUUGUGUUCUGUUUGAUUCAUUUAGCUGCAGGUUGAGUGUGUCAGUAGGUGUGCUUGAUGAGAUCUCUUUAGACUGAAAAACGAUGUUAGGCUCCAUGUGUAAUAUUUAUGGACUUUCAAAUCUUUUGACUGUUUGUGUUUUUUUGCUGGAGUAAUUUCUUUUUCUCCCAUACUACUUUUCUAUUUUCAGUUUUUAGGGAUUGUUUUGUAAAAAGAUUGGGACCCUAUUUGACUGUACUGCGCAGAGCAUUCCUCA